rnacentral:rRNA from 1 species
ACGACGCUGGCGGCGUGCCUAAUACAUGCAAGUCGAACGGUCUUUCUAUGGAAGCUUGCUUCCACUGAGAAGAUAGUGGCGAACGGGUGAGUAACACGUGGGUAACCUGCCCAUAAGAGGGGGAUAACAUCCGGAAACGGGUGCUAAUACCGCAUAGUUUCUUGAUCGCAUGAUCGGGAAAGGAAAGACGGCCUUUGUGCUGUCGCUUAUGGAUGGACCCGCGGCGUAUUAGUUAGUUGGUGAGGUAACGGCUCACCAAGACGAUGAUACGUAGCCGACCUGAGAGGGUGAUCGGCCACAUUGGGACUGAGACACGGCCCAAACUCCUACGGGAGGCAGCAGUAGGGAAUCUUCCGCAAUGGACGAAAGUCUGACGGAGCAACGCCGCGUGAGUGAAGAAAGGUUUUCGGAUCGUAAAACUCUGUUGUCAGAGAAGAACAAGUUGGAGAGUAACUGCUCCAGCCUUGACGGUAUCUGACCAGAAAGCCACGGCUAACUACGUGCCAGCAGCGGC